UACAGAGGGUGCAAGCGUUGCUCGGAUUUACUGGGCGUAAAGCGUACGCAGACGGCAAGGUAGGUCGGAUGUGAAAGCCCCGGGCUCAACCCGGGAAAUGCAUCCGAAACCCCCUUGCUCGAGUAUGAGAGAGGGAAGCGGAAUUCCUGGUGUAGAGGUGAAAUUCGUAGAUAUCAGGAGGAACAUCGGCGGCGAAGGCGGCUUCCUGGCUCAUUACUGACGUUCAGGUACGAAAGCGUGGGUAGCAAACAGG
rnacentral:rRNA from 1 species